rnacentral:lncRNA from 1 species
AUUGCCUCACCUUUUGAAUUUUUGAAGGUCCCCAAGUGAAUCUAAUGUAUAGCCAAGGUCGAUAACAACUAUUCUAGAGUGUAUUAGGGAAAAGUUCCUGAAUUAUUUUGUGAGAGAAAAUAAUAAUUCUGGAUCUUGUGUGGAAACAUUUAGAAUCUGUCCCUCCUGUGUUUGGAGUCCAGACUAUACAUAGGGGUCAGAGUAGUUCUCUGCUAGACUUAAAUUGUAAAAGAUGCGCUACACUUUUAGGUCAUUUCUAACACAGCAUUUUAUUUUAUCUGCACAGGUAUUGUUUUAGAGAGGUUGCAGCUUCUUAUAUUUAGAAAAUUGGCUUAACUUUCUCAUAGAUUUAACCUACUAUGACAUAUCAGUACUUACAUAUUCAAGGUAAUUGCCUUUAUGGACUAUUUUCUCAAAAAUUACUAGUAUUUUUUCCAGGAUGUUUUUGGAAGUUUUUUUUUAAGAAAUAUGCAUGGACCAGUAUAGUUCAUGUGUGCUUUAUAUGUAUGUACAAUGGUAAUAAAUAAAAAUCAGUGUUAAAUACAUUUAAAGUAAUUCCUCAGUUUCCAUGUGGUAAUCUUCAAAAUGAUGUUACAUGUGUCAUUGUUUUUAUUUUAUUAUAGUUGACAGUGUUGUACCAAUUUCUGCUGUACAGCAUAGUGACCCAGUCAUACAUAUAUAUUGCUUUUCCUACAUGCUUUUUCAUCAGGUUCUAUCAGAGUUUGGGUAGUUUCCUGUGCGUACAGUAGGAUCUCAUUGCUUAACCGUUCUAAAUGUAAUAAUUUUCAUCUACCAACUCCAAACUCCCUGUCCAUUCUACCCCAUCUCCCCUCCCCUUGGGCAACCACAAGUCUGUUGUCUCUCUGUCCAUGAGUCUGUUUCUAUUUUGUAGGUAGGUUCAUUUGUGCCCUAUUGUAGACUACACAUGUAAAUAAUAUCAUAUGGUAUUUGCCUUUUUCUUUCUGACUGACUUCACUUAGUAUGAGAAUCUCUAGUGGCAUCCGUGUUGCUCCAGUUGCCAUUAAUUUCAUUCUUUUUUGUGGCUGAGUAGUACUCCAGUGUAUAUGUGUACUGCAUUUUCUUAAUUUAUCUGUCAAGGGACAUUUAGAUUGUUUGCAUGUCUUGGCUAUGGUGAAUAAUACUACAAUGAACAUAAGGGUGCGUAUAUCUUUUUGAAGGCAAGUUUUUUCCAGAUAUAUGUCCAGGAGUGGGAUUGCUGGAUCAUAUAUGGUAGUUCUACAUUUAGUUUCCUGAAGAUCCUCUAUAUUGUCAUCCAUCAUGGUUGUACCAACUCACAUUCUCACCAACAGUGAAGGAGGGUACCCUUUUCUCCACACCUGCUCCAGAAUUUAUUUGUAGACUUAUUAAUGAUAGUCAUUCUGACCAGUGUGAAGUGGUACCUCAUUGUAGUUUUUAUUUUCAUUUCUCUAAUAAUUAGUGGUAUUGAGGGGUGUUGAGCAUCUUUUCAUGUACAUAUUGGCUAUCCAUAUAACUUCUUUGGAGAAAUGUCUAUUUAGGUCUUCUGCCUAUUUUUUGAUUUGGUUUUCUUUUUUUGUUGUUGAGUGUGUAUAUUUUGGGCAUUAGGCCUUUAUUGAUCGCAUUGUGUGGAAAGAUUUUCUCACAUUCUUUGGGUUAUCUUCGUUAUUUUUAAUGGUUUACUUUGUGUAAAAGCUUUGGAGUUUAAUUAGGUCUCAUUGGUUUACUUUGUUUUUAUUGUCAUGAUUCUAGGAGGUGGAUUAAACAAGAUGUUGCUGAAACUUACGUCAAAGAGCAUUCUGCCUAUGUUUUCCUCUAGGAGUUUCAUAAUACCUAGCCUUACCUUUAGGUCUUCAAUCAAUCUUGAGUUAUUUUUGUAUAUGUUGUUAGAAAAUAUUCUAAUUUCAUUCUUUUACAUGUAGCUGUCCAGUUUUCCCAGCACCGCUUAUUGAAGAGACCGUCUUUCCUCCCACUGUAUGUUCUUGCCUCCUCUGCAUAGAUGAGUUGACCAUAGGUGCUUGAGUUUAUUUCUGGGCUUUCUAUCCUAUUCUAUUGAUGUAUAUUUCUGUUUUUGUGCCCAUAGAACACUGUUUUGAUGACUGUAGCUUUGUAGUAGUAUGGAGUCAGGUAGCCUGAUUCCUCCAGUUCUGUUUUUCUUCAAUAUUGGUUUGGCUAUUCAGGGUCUCUUGUGUUUCCAUACACAAUUGAAAAUAUUUUGUACUAAUUCUGUGAAGAAUGUUCUUGGUAAUUUGAUAAAAUUGCAUUGAAAUUUAUUUCCUUGAGUAGUAUAGUCAUUUUGACGAUAUGGAUUCUUCCAGUCCACGACCAUGGUUUAUCUUUCCAUCUGUCAUUUUCAGUUUCUUCCAUCAGCGUCUUAUAGUUUUCAGAGUACAGGUCUUUUUGCCUCUUCAGUUAUGUUUAUUCCUGGGUAUUUUAUUCUUUAUCAUGUGAUAGUAAAUGGGAUGGGUUCCCUAAUUUCUCUCUUUGAUCUUUCUUUGUUAGUAUAUAGUAGUAUAUCGAUUAACUUUACUAAAGUUCAGUGAGUUCCAACAGUUGUCUGGUUUUUAGGAUUUUCUUGGUAUAUUAUAAUAUCAUCUACAAACAAUGAUUAUUUUACUAUUAUUUUUCCAAUCUGGAUUUCUCUUUCUUCUGAUACAUCCACGUAGGAUUUCCAAAACCAUGUUGAAUAACAGUGGUAAAAGUGGACAUCUUUGUCUUAUUCUUUAUCUUAGCAGAAAUACUUUGCUUUUUACCAUUGAGAAUUAUAUUAGCUGUGGGUUUGUCAUAUAUGGCUUUUAUUAUAUUGAGGUAGAGUCCCUCUGUUCCCACUUUCUGGAGAAUGUUUUUAGUUUUUUUUAAUCAGAAAUGGGUGUUGAAUUUUGUUGGAAGCUUUCUUCCUGCUAUCCAUUGAGGGAUUAUAUGGUUUUUAGUCUGGGACAGAGGAAUUUAGAAUAUUGGAGAACACAGCCUACACUGACCCUUUGUGGAGAAGUGUUCAACUGCUUCACAAGAUUGCUGUGUUCUCCUCCAGUAUUCUAAAUUCCUCUGUCCCAGGUGAUGUCCUUGCUGAUGGGGGGACUUCCCUGGGUUCAUCUGCCUCCUAGAGGUGCAGGUCCCAUGCUGCUUCCCUUUCUCGUUUUCUUUUGUCCUAACUGGUUUCAUGAAAAUUUUCUUGCUCUGUAGAAUCCUGAGUUCUUUUGCCAGCUUUCGGGAAAUUUUUUGUGCAAAUGUUUCCAUGUAUAGAUGCUUUCCUGACAUAUUUGUGGGAGUAGAUGAGCCUCAUGUUCUACUACUCCAUCAUUUCUUAAUCCUCAGGGUGUUUUUUUUUUUUUUUUUUUUUUUUUUUUCCAACUAUGGCGGAUUGGUUGGUUACUUGAUUGAUUGGUCUUAUCUGAAAGUUGUUGAAUAGAAUAGAUCAUUAUGGGGACUAGAGACUGUAACAACCCUUGGAC